ensembl:lncRNA
AGCAAUAGUUCUAGUGAAUGUGUGAAACCAAGAAACACUCUGUACUGUGUGUGGACCCGCAGUGACGGCCAGUAAAGUGGACUUAACUCCCAAGUGUGUCGAGCCGGACACCGGGCCCUGAACAUGCUGCUUCCAUGUUCAGUCCCUCCCCUGCUUUUCACUUUCUCUCUCUCAAUCCCUCCCCCCUGCCCCCUUUUCAGAUUUUCUCUCAUCCAAUAAUGUAAAACUGUUGUGUACGGGUUCCUCCAUCCUUUUCCCCCAAAUCUUUUUUCCCUUCAAAGGAAAAAGAAGUUCAGAGGUCCCUGUCUUUCUCUCUGUCCUCAUCUUCCUGCCAAUAGCUAGUCCCUCUAUAAUGUUGGAUACUCCUCAAAUGCUGAGUUUCUAGCCUUUUCUGAAACUUAGCGAACUGGGGAGAUGGCAGGGAGGCACCCUGAACCCUGGGCCUUCCAGCCUCCUUCCCCACCUCUUACCCAAACCUCCUUCUUGGGAACUCCUCAGGGACAACUACUGCUGAGUUUGGGCACACCCCCAAGAUGGAGGCCAGGUAGCAAUCGACUGGCCUGAGAGAGAGAGAGGUGUGUGUGUGUGUGAGAGAGUGAGUGAGUGAGAGGAUGCUGUGAUUGUGCCCCUGUUUUGUUUGGUGGCAUCCAUUCAGUUUUUCCCCCACGUAUCUGUUUCCCAUUGUUUCCAACCAUUGAAACACCUUUCCCAUUGUUUCACACCAUCACUUUGUCUUUGGGAAACCACAGGAACAGUUUUUCUGGGUACAAGGCUGUGUCUCUCCCCUCUCUCCCAGUCAUUUCUGUUCCAGCCUCUUCAAACUGUGCAAUCUUUCAGCAGGAACUCCCUCUCCUUUCAGUAGCUCUGAGUCUUAAGCUUUUGCAGGGAGAGGAGUAGAACUGGAUCUCUUCCUAAUCCCAUGAGCUUCUGUGGGUUUAGUAGUGCUUUCCUUCCCUUAUCUACUUCAUAUCCUGGGACCCCUUCCCCAGUAGCAGAGACCCCAGAACACAGGAGAGUAGGGAGGAGAGGUUCUGGGUCCACCACUGCCCUACAUGUGACUGUGCCCAAGUUAAGCCCCAACCUGUGAGAGGAAAGCUGCUAACUCCCAGCUAUAGCCAUGGGCCCCUGGCCCCUGCUUUCCUGCUCAGCAGAGCCCCUCCCAUCAGAGAUUACGGGUACUUGCACUGGGGAGGUGGCUGCUGGCUGGCCCAAGCAGAGCGCUGAGGCACCCAAGAAGUGUUCCAUUGGUGGGAGGGGGUGCCAGGUGAGGGGAGCAUUCCUUGUGCUUCUGGCAGCACUGAAUAGCCACUGAAGGGGGUGAGGGGGCAGUACAGGUCCCGGGGCAGCCCCUUUCUUAUUCCUUUAUGCCCCUUCUCCCCCAUGGCCUAUUUCUAAAGUCGCCUUUUCUGUCAGAUAAACCUCAGAACUUUUAAUUUUAUUUGAGAUUUUUUUUUUUGCUUUUAAAUAAGAGGUGGAUUGAAGAAUAUUUGAAUUGACUUUAUAUUAUGCAUAAAUAUUUAUAUUUUAUCUAAAUAACUGCGCUGUAACAAACUUUGUGUUAGUCAGACAUUUGGAACUGUUGUAGUUGGGGGCUCUUCUUUUCCCCAUGGCAGUCUUACCCUGCUAUAAAAUGUUCCAGAUUAAUUCUACUGUUGGAGGUUAGGUGGACGGGGGAGUGAAAUCUUGAUUGUUCCUGUUCUGUGUUCCUCUCCCAGCUCCAUCUCUUUCCCUAGGGACCAGGCACUCUUAAGGUGGGGUGGGUGGAGUCCUAGCCUCAAUUUGAAGUGAGGGUUGAUGGGGGGCGGGGGGAGGGCAUGACCAAAGGGGCCGUUUCUCACUUUCCUUUCCUCAUCUUCACUCUGCCCCUUGAGCUAGGUGGAUUUUCUCUUUUUGACAAAUAAGAGUAUUUGGUAGGGAAGGCAAGUUAAAAAAGUAAAUAAAACCCACCCCUACCCCUUUGUUUCCCCUCGCCUAUCAGUCUGGAAACAGGAAGAAACCACACCAUCAACACCAACAAAUUUCCACGUUCCUUUUACAACAAAAGGGACUUGACUUUUUAUAUAACCAAAUGUGGUGUUUUAGUGACUUUUUGAUAAUGUACAGUUUUUUGUGAAUUUAAAUUUAUUUCUUUCUAUAUUUUUAGGACCAAUCUCAUUUUUAAUAAGGUAAAAAAAGGAAAAAAAAGUCUAGAGAAAAAAACUCCUGUUUUUGCCAUGUGAUGUUCCACAAGUGCAGCUGUAGAAAAGUGCUUGUCAGUUGAAUAAAAACCACAUUUGAUAGAGAUUC